rnacentral:rRNA from 1 species
GACGAACGCUGGCGGCGUGCUUAACACAUGCAAGUCGAACGAAGUGGCGAACGGGUGAGUAACGCGUAAUCAACCUGCCCUUCAGCGGAGGACAACAGUUGGAAACGACUGCUAAUACCGCAAACUGAAGCAGGGGCUUGCGUCUGAUUAGCAAGUUGGAGGGGUAACGGCCACCCAAGGCGAGGAUCAGUAGCCGGUCUGAGAGGAUGAACGGGCACAUUGGGACGGAGACACGGCCCAGACUCCUACGGGAGGCAGCAGUGGGGAAUCUUCCGCAAUGGACGAAAGUCUGACGGAGCAACGCCGCGUGAGGGAUGACGGCCUUCGGGUUGUAAAGCUCUGUUAAUCGGGACGCGGUACCGGAAUAGAAAGCCACGGCUAACUACGUGCCAGCAGCCGCGGUAAUUC